GCUAAGAAUUGACGAGCCCUAGUGUUAUUACUGUUUAAAUUCUAAUUGUGCAAUAUUGAGGAAAUGUGAUUUUUGGAUUGGAAUCGAAAACGUGAGAAGUCGUACCGACCUUAUGAACCCAAGUAAACGCUUGACUAAGUAAAUGGAAAAUAUUUUGCUUCAAGUUUGGAACGGUACAGAUCUAGCAUCGUACUACUAAACAUAGUAUCUACUAUUUUUGCCUUAGAAACUUGGGCAACAUGACUUUUACCCCUUAAGCUAGACUAGCCUUAUUAAUUUGGGAAAAUGAUUUCCCCGGACUCAAAACCUUAGUUUGAUUCAAAUUCCUUCCUUAUAAAUCGUUUAAGGCUAGUCGGAACUAAGGAAAUUUAAAAGGUGAAACUCGAUCCCUUUGGUUUUAAGCGUAGAAACCUGCUCGGCAAGAAAAACCUUAUUUUAGCAACAUUUUUCAAUAAACCUUACCCUAAAGCCUUAGCAAAGAUUUUUGUAGGUACAACCACUCCAAUGAACUUUUUCCAAGGUAUAUUUUUUUAGCCCUGAUAUUAAAUAUCUUGCCGACUUAUUUUAAGAAAAUAAUAAUAGUAUUUUCUUCGAAGAAAAAGUAUUCCAGGAAUGGUAUAAGAAAUAUUGUACGGUUCUCAUAAGCUCGAUUCCAAGUAAAAUAUUUUGAGAAAAAGUAAACUAGCAUCAUGCUAGAAAACUCUACAUGUACAAGCCAAAAGUUCCAAUAGAAAACUUAUGGCUUAAAUUCUGAUAUUCUAGGAUUUUACGAGGACGCGGAACUCGAUCCUCAAUCCAAUAUCUGAACUCCACUCUUGGUUUUGAGGCUUGAGAAGUUGGAUGCUGUUUUUAUUUGGUUAUACGUGUGUUUGGACAAUGUGGUUUUUAAGAAUUGUAAAUUUCAGUUUGUAACGUGUAAUCCUGCUUGCGUACUUUCGCCUUGUGUUACCACUUGAAGCUGGAAAAUGUGUGGCUCUCGUGGUGACCUAUGGCUGGGGUAUUUUUAUGUUUCCGCUGUUUGGGUUUUUGUACGUUAGGAUUGUACGACUUUGUUCUUGUAAAGCGCGUGAACGAUAGUUUUAAGAGCCGUCGAAGGGCUGACUUAUGUCACUGCUAUCCCUGAAGUUACUGUGGAGUUAUAAAGUUUUACUUGGAAG